GAUGAACGCUGGCGGCGUGCCUAAUACAUGCAAGUCGAGCGAACGGACGAGAAGCUUGCUUCUCUGAUGUUAGCGGCGGACGGGUGAGUAACACGUGGAUAACCUACCUAUAAGACUGGGAUAACUUCGGGAAACCGGAGCUAAUACCGGAUGAUAUUUUGAACCGCAUGGUUCAAAAGUGAAAGACGGUCUUGCUGUCACUUAUAGAUGGAUCCGCGCUGCAUUAGCUAGUUGGUAAGGUAACGGCUUACCAAGGCAACGAUGCAUAGCCGACCUGAGAGGGUGAUCGGCCACACUGGAACUGAGACACGGUCCAGACUCCUACGGGAGGCAGCAGUAGGGAAUCUUCCGCAAUGGGCGAGAGCCUGACGGAGCAACGCCGCGUGAGUGAUGAAGGUUUUCGGAUCGUAAAACUCUGUUAUUAGGGAAGAACAUAUGUGUAAGUAACUGUGCACAUCUUGACGGUACCUAAUCAGAAAGCCACGGCUAACUACGUG
rnacentral:rRNA from 1 species